GGUUUAAUGCUCUAUUGCUGUUUUGAAAUGUGGAAUAAUUGUUCCUCAGGGGGUUUCAGGCUUUCAGUCUGCACAGGGCCCUGCAAACUCCCUAGCCAGUCCUCCCUCUCACUCCCCUGGGGUAGGGGUGGGGGCAGGGCUCCCCCAGGCGGGUGUCGUGAACCCCUGAUGGGAGAGUUUGGGAGGAGCUGCGGGCCUGUGCAGCUCAGCCUGUCCCCACUGCCGUCUCUUCUCCGGACUCACCAGCCUGCGGUGACCCGUGUGCCGGGCUGCUCGCCCCUCCCUGUGACGGGAUCCCGGGCGAGCCUGGUAGUCUGUCCUCACGACAUCAGCUUCGACUAAACCGUGAACUUCUGCACCAUCAGAGGUGCAGCCUGAUGGGGACCAUGUCCGGGAGCUGCCUCCUUCAUCAGCGGGUACAGCAAGGUGGCCCAUCCGUCCCGUGGAAAGACAGACAAGGCGCUCACAUGAGCUACAGCACGGAAGAGCCUUAAAAACGUGGUGCUGACAGGAGGAACAUCAGCUUCUGGCGACUGUGAGAUGAACUCAUGGGCAGCACGUUCGCCCCCUACCUCCCCAGGAUGGACGGGACUGGGAGUCUCUGGAAUCAUCCACGCUGGAGUCGCCUCGGUGAGCUCUCUGUCCCCAGCGCCUCUGCGCAGGGCUCAGAGCCUCUGGCAAAUGUCCCCCCUGGCUGUGUCCUACCUGGCCACCCGUGUCCAUGUCUCCGCAGAGACACAUCAGUGGUCCAGACUUAAUGAAAUGUAAUGGGGUGGGCUUGACUCUGGCUCGCUUCUGAAGAGAAUUUUCCUAAUUUUAUUUUUAAUUCUCUAACACGCAUGAGCUCAGCUCAUGGAAAUUACAACCGUAGCUUCCCCCUCUGCUACCCAGCCACUGCCUUGUGUGACCACUUAGGACAGAAUUAAUGGCACCAGCCUGGUCCUGCUCAACUAACUGGCUCUUUGGAAGCCAGCAAUUAAGCUUGGUAGCCAGGCAGACGCCACGACUAGGCCGCUGAGGGGCUCCUGGGUGGGCCAUUCUCGGGGUGGGGUGGGGGGAGAUGUUUCAGCACCCGAACUGCUAACUUUUGGAUGUCGUGGGUCAAUAAAAAUAACUUAAAAAAAUGCCAGAGAAUCAGUUUGGAAUUUCUAACUUAUUUGCUAAGUAAGGGCAUUGAAAGAAUUCCUUCUAAACCUGGACUAUUCUGGCCACGCUCAUUUCGUAGAGGAAAGGAUAUGUAAGUGCUCAGAAUGAGGACAGACACACUCUGGAAAAAGGUCCUGUAGAUAGGGCACGCUAAUCGGAAUGGAGAACUGCCCUCCAUCACUCCCAUGCCCCUUCCUAGCUGGGCUGCCGUUACGUCAACCCCACACGGGGCUGAUUGACAACAGACUCGCGUCUCUCACAGCCUGGGGUACCGCUGCCCUCACCCCUUCCCUCACCUUGUCCUGCUGGCCCUGCUGCAGACGAAGUCCCAGGGAACCUGGGGUCUGAUGGCAGGGGCAGGCUGAGGAGGGAGGAGAGGGCUGCGAGGCUCCCCCAGGACUUCUGCAGGGGUGGGGACGACAGAGCUGUCCUCUCUGGUUCCGAAAGCGAAUUGAUUUUCUGUGUGGUUUUAGCCUGUUUUCUGCCCUCGUGCUGAAAGGUGGGGGCCCAGACUUGGCUUUCUGGGCCCCAGGCAGGCUGCAAGCCCAGGGGAAAAAAUGAGACAUCAAACAAGGCUCAAAGAGGAACCUGGCUUCCCUGGGCCAGGAUCUCAGUUGGG